CAAGCAGAAAGAAUGACUCAGUGAAAAAACUUGGAGACACCUAAAGAGCCACUAAGCUACUAGAAAAGCAAGAAUGAGCCAGACUCUGGACAUGAGCUCCAGCCACAGAUGCCCCUGGGGCCCUCCUGCUCCCUCCCCACUCACCUACUUUGGGCAACAGGCACUGGCUUCUUUUAUUUGCACUGAAAAUUGGCUUUCUCUGUGACAGCCAACAGCUUCCAAUGGGAUCUCAGCUGCCAGCGAGAGCCUCACUCUCACUCCACAUCCAGAAACCUCAGAGCAGCACUCAUUGCCUCCCAGUCAGCAGAGGCCAGCUGGGUACAAGGAGACCCCAGGGGAAGGUGGACCGGGCAGGCAAACUGGGGACGUCCAUACCAAGCCACCAUCACGCAGUGAUCUUUGCUUCCGGAAUAGCAUUUGGAAGCCACUAGGCAAAUGUUUGUCAUUUGAAACUCGUUCCCUGUGCAGGGCUGGGCAAGUGCCGGGUCUGGAGCUCAGAGCAGCUACUGGAGCCAUUUGGCUGGCACCUGCGUGUGCUUACAAGUGAGCGAUCUCCAGCACCAGUGCCACCAGCUUCUUCCAGGGCCUUGAGGUGCAGUGACCAGGGAGGGUGUGGAAGCUUCUCUAGGCAGGAACACCAUGCUCUCAGAGGGCCUCUUCCAUCAGCUUGCCUGUAGCCAGCCUGACAGUCAUCCCCACUCCCUGGAUAAGGGAUUCCAAGUCCCUGGGCAGGCAGUGCUGGUUCUCACUGAUGUAACCUCGUGUUCCUGCAUGCUUUUCAAGUGCAGGCGAGCCCAUCAGCAGCUCAGAGAAGAUGGCAGGAAGCAAGGGGCGGAAGGGAGAGGAGGAGAGGUCGACACACAGUGCUUGGGCCACACGGGCAGAGAUGCUCACCCACCCUCUGCCCACAGAGGUGGGUGGAUGCCCCGGCUACCUGAGAGAAGGCUGCCUGUGUGCAGAACAAGAAAAAGAACACAAGCGUCC
rnacentral:lncRNA from 13 species